CAAGAACAGAGCGCGCAUCACAGGGCCCCCACUCUGGUGUGAGCGUUCUGUGACCACCCUUGUAUACAAGUGAAAAACACAGCGUCUGUGUGUGUUUCUACCCUUAGACUCUUAGCUGAAGAAGUGUCUUUAGAAUAAAUCUCUUGACAUUUAUUUUGGUCCUUCGAGCCGGAUCAGAAAUAUCAGAACUGUUAUCUGUGACUCUGUUCCAGGAUCUGGCAUACUGUUUCCUGACGCCGUGGAUCCAGCACCGAAGAGGGACAACAACUUCAAAAAGAACGAGACUGGUAUGACUAACCAGUGAUGAAACAACAAAUUUAGUGGUUAAGAGUCAAAUGGCUGCUUUGCCGGUCCUGAAAGCCAAAGCUGACCUGGACUCCUGCUCUCCCUCUACCAUCUCUGACCUUGACCCUGACCAAAUGCUGCAGCAGCUGGACCCAUAACAACAAUCU
ensembl:lncRNA